rnacentral:rRNA from 1 species
UACGUAGGGGGCAAGCGUUGUCCGGAAUCAUUGGGCGUAAAGCGCGCGUAGGCGGCCCUGUAAGUCCGUUGUGAAAGUCAAAGGCUCAACCUUUGAAAGCCGAUGGAUACUGCAGGGCUAGAGUCCGGAAGAGGCGAGUGGAAUUCCUGGUGUAGCGGUGGAAUGCGCAGAUAUCAGGAGGAACACCAAUAGCGAAGGCAGCUCGCUGGGACGGUACUGACGCUGAGGUGCGAAAGCGUGGGGAGCAAACAGG